GAUGAACGCUGACAGAAUGCUUAACACAUGCAAGUCGAUGGGGAAGUGGUGCUUGCACCAUGGCAACCAUGGCGGACGGGUGAGUAACGCGUAAGGGACUUACCUGCAGGACUGGGAUAACAGGGGGAAACUCCUGACAAGACCGGAUAAUGUCAUGGAGCUGCAUGGCUUUAUGAUGAAAGGAGACGCCUGCGGAGAGCCUUGCGUCCUAUUAGCUAGUUGGUGAGGUAAUGGCUCACCAAGGCGAAGAUAGGUAGCCGGCCUGAGAGGGUGGACGGCCACAAGGGGACUGAGAUACGGCCCUUACUCCUACGGGAGGCAGCAGUGGGGAAUAUUGGACAAUGGGGGCAACCCUGAUCCAGCAAUUCUGUGUGCACGAAGAAGGUUUUCGGAUUGUAAAGUGCCUUCAGCAGGGAAGAAGUAAGUGACGGUACCUGCAGAAGAAGCGACGGCUAAAUACGUG
rnacentral:rRNA from 1 species